rnacentral:lncRNA from 1 species
UCACCAAUACUAAACUCUGGGUUUUGCGUUUCUUUCUCCAACUCAGCUGACAAAAGCUGGAUGUUUUUCCCAGCUUAGAAACACCGAAAUCCACGAAAGACUCCAAUGAUGUAGCGCAAAACUUCUCUUCUCCUUCAAUGGUUGGUGUUUCACAAUCCUCGAUUGUUUUUUUGAGUAUUUUGGAUUCUGCAGAUUUUGGUUGCACCGAGAAAUAGUUCAAGACUUGCGCAAACUUUUUAGUUGAAAAGGGGAGUGAGUCCGCAACUGGACGCGGUAAGAAAGCAGUUUUGCUGGCUUUACUGGUUAGCACCUUUAAGUUCAUCUUAGUACCAGGUCGAAGCUUACUCUCAAAAAAGAAAACGUCCUUAUUGGUUGCCAUAUUUCCAUCUCCAAACUCUUGUUUUGAAUUGCCUGCUGCGUUUUCAUAAUUCCUAUUACCCUCUGCCAUAUUUCCUUUGUACCUUUUGAUCAUAUUAGCCAAAGCAUUUUUCAUGUGAUUUCCUACAUAUAUUUCAUUUGCAGAGAGAUAUCUAGAGCAUUAGAAGACUUACCUGAAUUAUAUAUGUCUACUCAAUCAUUGAGGAAAAGAAAAGAAAAUUGAAAACAAACCAGCAGCAGCAGGGGGGAUUAAAAGAUUUUGCAAGGCUUUGGGCAUUGGAGUGUUUGGGAACACAGACGUCCAGUACAUCUCUGCUGGUAG